GUCCACGCUGUAAACGAUGAUUACUAGCUGCUGGGAGUUUUAAACUAUCAGUAGCGCAGCUAACGCGAUAAGUAAUCCGCCUGGGGAGUACGGCCGCAAGGUUAAAACUCAAAGAAAUUGACGGGGGCCCGCACAAGCGGUGGAGCAUGUGGUUUAAUUCGAUGCAACGCGAAGAACCUUACCUACCCUUGACAUACAGAGAAUCUUGCAGAGAUGUAGGAGUGCCGAAAGGAGCUCUGAUACAGGUGCUGCAUGGCUGUCGU
rnacentral:rRNA from 1 species